UCAGUUUAGAUGAGCUGUCCUGAUUCUGUGCCCCCUCAGCCACCCUCACUGGCAGGACAGUUUGAGAAGCUGAGAAAUUGAAAUGUCCUUAGCUCUGUACAGUGCUGCUCACUGGAGUGAAAGAUGUUCAGCGCAUCAAGAAAGGAUUGUUGAGUCCAUUGCAUUCUGCCCACAGAAUAUUAUAAAUGUGCAACUGAGCAACAAACAUCUGGGUAGUCUGGCUGAAAGCAUUUUGAACAUGAGCAUGUGAAUUCUGUUCUCAGUCUGUACCUCAGAUAGACAUAUGAUGCAUUCCACGGGCCACCAAUUCUCUGGCAUGAGCAGUGGAGGACUUUGAUGUCUUGUUUCUGCUGUACAUUUUUCUUCUCUGCAUUUUCUUAUUCCUAACCUCUACCAACAAGGCUGGAGUGCACAUGAGUUUUUACUUCUGUGAUGGAGUAGGGGGGAAAAAAUGGAAGCUGUGUGUUUUCAGCAUGGGCAUUGGGUGCUUUCCUGAUGAGUAUGUACAGUUUAAUGCUUAUUACAGAAAUCAUCUUGCACGUU